rnacentral:piRNA from 1 species
UGGGUCAAUAGUUUUAACAAAUAAGAAUCUC